CUGAGAGGUUAACCCCCCACAAUGGUACUGAGACACGGACCAGACUCCUACGGGAGGCAGCAGUGAGGAAUAUUGGUCAAUGGACGCAAAGUCUGAACCAGCCAUGCCGCGUGCAGGAUGACGGCUCUAUGAGUUGUAAACUGCUUUUGUACGAGGGUAAACGCGAUACGUGUAUCUGUCUGGAAGUAUCGUACGAAUAAGGAUC
rnacentral:rRNA from 1 species